UCCAGCUGCGCUGCGACUGGCGUGCCACGGGCUGCUGCCGCCUCACGUUGCGCCAGGGGAGGCUCAGGUUGGAUUUAGGAACGAUUUCUUCUCGGAAAGAGCGGUGAGGCACUGAUGCAGGCUGCCCGGGGAGUCACCGUCACUGGGCGCGUGUGGAUGCGGCAGUGAGGUUCGUGGGCAUGGUGGGGAAUGGAUUGACAGCUGCACUAGGCGAUCUUGGGGGGCUUUUCCAAACGUAAUGAUCCUGCGAUUCUGUGAGCUCCAUGCUGUUCCUUUGGUCCUGUCCCUGUCACCAGAGGGAAGAGCUCAGCACAGCCCUUCUACUUCCCAUGAGGAAGCUACAGGCCCGCCAUGAGGUCUCCCCUCAGUACCCUCUUCUCUUGACUGAACAAACCAAGCAACAUCAGCAGCUCUUCAUACCACUUGCCCUCCACACCCUUCAUCACUGAAUGUUGCUGGUUUACUAGUGUAAAUCUGUUACGGAAGAAAUCUGGAAGAAUCCCAUCCAACGAAUCCCUUUUCAAAUGAAGACUUGAUAUAAGGAUGGAAAACAGCUUAUCUCUUGACAUGAGUGCAGCAGAGGAUUCCAGUUCUUGGCACCUCCAUGGCCUUCAAAUUGCUUCAUUCCUGCUUAACUACCAGUUCAACUCUGCUUGUUUCUGGCAGGCUACUUUACCCCUUGACACAGGUCUGAAGGUGAUGGCAUCUUUAAGGUGUAACCCAGUGUUGUCAAAUGCAGCUGGGUGUACUGCCAACACAAGGCUCACUUGAGAAACAUUCAGGAAAAGAGGAAGAGAAAGCGGUGUUGAGCUUGUCUUAACUCUGGAUCAAGCUCUGAUGGCAAGGGUUUAACCAAGUUUGAAAAUGGCAACUUGACCCCUGGAAUCUCCUUCAGCAGGCAGCAGGUUGACACAGGAGAAAGCAAGAACACGAAGGUGUGAAGGACCAUCUAUGAGGUCUUUGUGGUUAGGAUCCUUGAAGAAGUGAAUAUUGAUCUGUGCCUUUCAGCGGGUCUUUCUUAGUUGCAGCCCCAGUAGCAGUGCACAAGGAAGCAAUGGGACUGUGGUGGUAGUGGAAGAUGCUCCCACAGUUGAGAAUAUGCUGCUUUCAGCCAUCAGGAUCACCACUACCACCACAGAAAGUUCCGAGAAGAAGAUGCAGACAUGCCAUUUACUACUGACUCCACCAAUCUUCUCAUUCAGCAGAAUGGUCUGAUGAGAAAAGAAGUGCACAAGCUCCACCUAAAAGACCCAGCAUGUGGCCGCAGCCUCACCCAGCUGUGUUGUUGACCACAGACAUUUUCUUCUUGGACCCCCUUUGAAGGCAGUGGCAUCAACCCUUGAGUGCAUCAUGGUGCUACUUGGCAGUGCCCACAUCUGCGGCCACAUCUCAUGCCAUUCUAUUUAGAAAUGCCAGGAUCUAUUCCCAUCCUGCAUCUGUGGCCUCCAGAUUGUCAGUUCACCCCAUCAAAAAUAUACGGGUGGAAAUCAAAGUGAAGACCUUUAGGCACAGCAGGAAGUUCUAGCCUUGUCUCUUGAAGGGGCAAAGAAAUACACUUUUUUCAGUGGUGGUGAAGAAAUGUUACCAGACCUGGGGAAGAAAGGGAAUUUGGCUUUUAGAACAUCUUUGUCACUUUCAGUAUAUGGGGAAUUUUUGAAUCUUACUCCCCAUCUUAUAUUAUUAUCUCUUAUUCUCCACCUUAUUUAUUUUAAAAAAAUAUAUAUUCAACAGUUAACUGGAAAGAAACACACACACACACAAAAAAAACAAAAAAAACCCAAAACCUAACACAGUUGAAGAGACACUAGAUACUGACAUGGAAGCUCUGGCUUCCAUGGUCUGUCAAUCAGUUCUACUCCUGAGCUGCUUUGUGCUGGCCAGAGGAGUUCUCUGAGCCUGCCAUUAUAUGCUGUGUGUCCCAGCCUUCAAUGAUUCCCUUGUGGAAGAAGGAAGAGGGUCAAGGAGGCAGAGGACCCUUUUCCUGGGGAUGGCUCCUCUGUGCCUUUUUGCUUGCCGGAAAGAAAGGCUGCCCAUUGGGCACAGGAGCUGCCUUCUAGCUGCCAUCCUGUGCCCUCCAGGGGUCCUACAGCCUCCUUUUUACGCCAUGCUGAACACCACUCCCACCAUCACGGUGGUCAUCACAGAAUCUUACUGGUGUCACAGUAGUCACUGCUGCCCCAUCCCACACACUCAGCUCCAAGACCUCUGGUGGUAAACAAUCACAGCUGAUACCAAGAGAACCAGGAGCGCUGAUUGCCCAGUUUUACAUGGGAAGAGAGAGUUUGGGUUCCCAGAACCGAAGAGGUGGUGGAGACUCACAAAGCAGAACAAAUGCAGGAGGAAAAGUACCUGUGCCCAUAGAGCAAUGGCCUGGCCUGGGACUACUGUUCUGCAGCCCAUGGAGGUAGAUGCACUCCAGAUGAAGAACCAAUGGAAGUGGAUUGACCUCUGCUACAGCUGUCUAGGCAUAUCGUUAUGCCAGAGUGAGAUUACAGCAGCAGCAUUGAAGGUCCAGGUGCCCAGCCCCUGUCUGCUCUGCAGCUUCUGCACCCAGAAUUAACUGGGAGACCAUUCAUUAACAUCCUGCGGGCUUGCAUGCAGGAUAGCCUCCUUUCCCAUCCCCUGUCCUUGCCCCUUGUAAAGAGAUAGCAUGUCUUCUGCAUGGAUUCCCAAGGAAGCAGGCAAAUGUGGACUCAGCUUGUUUUUGGCUGCUUCACUGUAUCUACAGGAGGUGCCCCUCAGAGAGCUGGUGUGGACCUUGAGCCCUAGAGGUGGGGUGUCUCAGCCUGAAGAUGUGAAUGCUACCCAACAAGUGCUCAUAGGUGAAGCCAGACCUUCCGCGGUGGUGCACAAAGAACAGCAGCAGAUCAAUGAAAAAAAAGAGAGCUGUUCCUUUGAAGCUAAUGAAAACACUGUCCCCAUAAGGGUGCCCAAACAGAAAAGGUAUCCAAAGAGGUUUCACAUGCUGUCCUUGGAGGAAUCUGAACCUAAAAGAACAAAACUGGAUGUUCCCAGAUAUCGCUGUCCCCUUUGUGUCCCUCAGGGCCAUCUUCUGGCAGAUGUCCUGGCUGAAGGCCAAGAGCUGCUCCUUGGAAAUCCACCUGCAGGCUCCCAUUCUGGUGAUACUAAUGAUUCUUAAAACCAGACUAGAGAGACCACUAGAGAGGAUCUAUGAUGAGGAAUCUAUGGAGUAGAUCCACCACAAGAUGGAGAACUGAUGGAAGUGGACCCACCUGUAAGACGCAUGACCAUCUCCAGCAUGCCUUGGCUCUGCUACAAAAUCAGGGCAAUAGGGCUGCAGGAGUACCAGGUCAGCUUGCUGUCUGCAUCAAUCUCUGCUCCCCCCCACUAACUUGGACACAACAAACAAUAUGGACGUCUUGAAGGCUCAUGUGUCAGAUCACCUAGCAAUAAACCAUUCUUUUGGUGAUUGUUGAUGGUUUUGUAAGCCCUUCUUUUCCAUCUCCCAGCCUUCAUGAUGAAGUGGCAUCUCUUCUUUGUGGAGCCCCAAGGAGGGGGGAGGUUCAGGUUGGGUACUGGGAAGAGAUUCUUCCCUGAGGAGGUGGUUGGGCAAUGGAAGAGGCAUUCCAAGGAAAUGGUCAUGGCACUAAGCCUGCCAGAGUUCGAGAACGCUCUCAGAGUUUGGACAAUGCUGUCAGACAUAGGGUUUAAAUACUGGGUGAUCCUAUGUGGGAUACCCAGGAGUUGGAUUCAGUAAUCCUUGUGGAUUGUUUCCAACUCCGGCUGUUCUGUGAGUCUUUGAAUCUGGAGAUUUCCUAUCAUCCAGUAUUCAGUGAAGAAGGCAGGGAAAGGAACACUUCUCAGUAGAAAGAUACAUUUGCAAACAUAAGCAUCUGUGGGACGGACACUAUGCUGGAGCAGGGGCAGAGCAGCCAUGAAGAAGUGGCAGAGAUGAAGUGUUACGGACUGACUGCGGCCCCCAUUCCUCAUUCCCCAGCACGGCUGAGGGGGAGGAGGUGGGAGAAGGAGCAUGUGUAGAAGGCAUUUUUAGUUUACUUUUAGUUCUCGCUGCUCCAGUCUGUUAGC